GACGAACGCUGGCGGCGUGCUUAACACAUGCAAGUCGAACGGAAAGGCCCUGCUUUUGUGGGGUGCUCGAGUGGCGAACGGGUGAGUAACACGUGAGUAACCUGCCCUUGACUUUGGGAUAACUUCAGGAAACUGGGGCUAAUACCGGAUAGGAGCUCCUGCUGCAUGGUGGGGGUUGGAAAGUUUCGGCGGUUGGGGAUGGACUCGCGGCUUAUCAGCUUGUUGGUGGGGUAGUGGCUUACCAAGGCUUUGACGGGUAGCCGGCCUGAGAGGGUGACCGGCCACAUUGGGACUGAGAUACGGCCCAGACUCCUACGGGAGGCAGCAGUGGGGAAUAUUGCACAAUGGGCGGAAGCCUGAUGCAGCAAAGCCGCGUGCGGGAUGACGGCCUUCGGGUUGUAUACCGCUUUCGCCUGUGACGAAGCGUGAGUGACGGUAAUGGGUAAAGAAGCACCGGCUAACUACGUG
rnacentral:rRNA from 1 species